GGGCUCACACAAGCGGUGGAUGAUGUGGCUCAAUUCGAGGCUACGCGAAGAACCUUAUCCUAGUCUUGACAUGCACGGAUUAACCCCGGGAAACCGGGGCGACGCCUUCGGGUGGAACGUGCACAGGUGCUGCAUGGCUGUCGUCAGCUCGUGUCGUGAGAUGUCGCGUUAAGUCGCUUAACGAGCGAAACCCUUGUUGCUAGUUGCCAGCGGGUCAUGCCGGGGACUCUAGCAAGACUGCCGGUGUUAAACCGGAGGAAGGUGGGGAUGACGUCAAGUCCUCAUGGCCUUUAUGACUAGGGCUGCACACGUCAUACAAUGGCGCGCACAAAGGGAAGCAAACUCGCGAGAGCAAGCAAAUCCCAAAAAUCGCGCCCCAGUUCGGAUUGCAGGCUGCAACUCGCCUGCAUGAAGCCGGAAUCGCUAGUAAUCGCGGGUCAGCAUACCGCGGUGAAUGUGUUCCUGAGCCUU
rnacentral:rRNA from 1 species